AUUGAACGCUGGCGGAAUGCUUUACACAUGCAAGUCGAGCGGCAGCGCGGGGCAACCUGGCGGCGAGCGGCGAACGGGUGAGUAAUGUAUCGGAACGUACCCAGUCGUGGGGGAUAACUAUCCGAAAGGAUAGCUAAUACCGCAUACGUCCUGAGGGAGAAAGCGGGGGAUCGCAAGACCUCGCGCGAUUGGAGCGGCCGAUAUCGGAUUAGCUAGUUGGUGAGGUAAAGGCUCACCAAGGCGACGAUCCGUAGCUGGUCUGAGAGGACGACCAGCCACACUGGAACUGAGACACGGUCCAGACUCCUACGGGAGGCAGCAGUGGGGAAUUUUGGACAAUGGGGGCAACCCUGAUCCAGCCAUUCCGCGUGAGUGAAGAAGGCCUCGGUU
rnacentral:rRNA from 1 species